AUGUUAAUAAUUGUGCUGCUUGGGCUAAGAUUCAACCUUCAGCUACUUUUUUUUGGAAGUGGAGCUAGUGGUCUUGGUUUUUACCAUGUGGAGGUUCCUGCUGCUGCUGAGACCAAGUGGUUGAAUUAUCAGAACUGUGCUGUGGUGAAUAUCAUCAAGGGAGAGGUUCAGAAAACUGAGCUUUGUGGCCCGAUGUCUGCUGUUUUCUGCAAGAAUAGGCAAUGGCCUUGGCAAGUGAGAGAGUUUUCAAGCAAGACUUUCUUAGUCAGUUUCCCACCAUGGAAAAGUGUUGAGGAUUUGAUUGAGUUCCCAGCCUUUGAUCUGCCUAAAGAUGGUGUAAAUGUGAAUGUGACUGAAUGGAAGGGAGCAUGUGAUCCUUUUGGAGAAUUGAUUGAAGCCUGGGUAUUGAUUGAGGGCAUACCACCUAAAUGGUGUACCUGGAAGGUGUUCUGUCAGAUUGAUUCAAUGUUUGGUGUGCUUACUGAUGUAGACCGAAAUGAAUGUUCAGAACCUUUUUUUGAGAAUGUGAGGGUCAAGAUUGCUUGCAGAGAUCCAACCAAAAUUCCUUUUGAAAGAUUGAUAGAGAUGAAGAAGAAGUUAUUUCUUAUUGGAUUUACUGUGGAAGGGUUUGAACAAACUGGU
rnacentral:rRNA from 1 species